CGGGGUGCAGCAGGCGCGAAAACUCUACAAUGCAGGCAACUGCGAUAGGGGAACAUCGAGUGAUCCUCAUAUUGGGGGUCUGUCCACCCGUCUAAAAAACGGGUGUUAGCAAGGGCCGGGCAAGACCGGUGCCAGCCGCCGCGGUAAUACCGGCGGCUCGAGUGGUGGCCGAUAUUAUUGAGUCUAAAGGGUCCGUAGCCGGCUUUGCAAGUCUCUCGGGAAAUCCAGCGGCUUAACCGUUGGUCGUCCGGGGGGUACUACAUUGCUUGGGACUGGGAGAGGUAGGAGGUACUCAGGGGGUAGGAGUGAAAUCCUGUAAUCCUUUGGGGACCACCGGUGGCGAAGGCGUCCUACCAGAACAGGUCCGACGGUGAGGGACGAAAGCUAGGGGCGCGAACCGGAUUAGAUACCCGGGUAGUCCUAGCCGUAAACGAUGCUCGCUAGGUGUCACAACAGUCGUGAACUGUUGUGGUGCCGUAGGGAAGCCGUGAAGCGAGCCACUUGGGAAGUACGACCGCAAGGUUGAAACUUAAAGGAAUUGGCGGGGGAGCACAAGGGCGAAUU
rnacentral:rRNA from 1 species